rnacentral:rRNA from 1 species
GACGAACGCUGGCGGCGCGCCUAACACAUGCAAGUCGAACGGAGCUGAGAGAAGCUUGCUUUUCUUAGCUUAGUGGCGAACGGGUGAGUAACGCGUGAGUAACCUGCCCUGGAGUGGGGGACAACAGUUGGAAACGACUGCUAAUACCGCAUAAGCCCACGAUCCGGCAUCGGAUUGAGGGAAAAGGAUUUAUUCGCUUCAGGAUGGACUCGCGUCCAAUUAGCUAGUUGGUGAGGUAACGGCCCACCAAGGCGACGAUUGGUAGCCGGACUGAGAGGUUGAACGGCCACAUUGGGACUGAGACACGGCCCAGACUCCUACGGGAGGCAGCAGUGGGGGAUAUUGCACAAUGGGGGAAACCCUGAUGCAGCGACGCCGCGUGGAGGAAGAAGGUUUUCGGAUUGUAAACUCCUGUCGUUAGGGACAAUAAUGACGGUACCUAACAAGAAAGCACCGGCUAACUACGUG